rnacentral:lncRNA from 1 species
UUUACAGUUCGAUUGGAACUGGGGAGGAGUUUAAAAGAAUCACAGUAAGCCCUCUGGUCUUUUCCAGGAGGAUAAUCAACAACAUUGACUGAUUAUGUUUGUAUGGCUUGUUGGAUAAAAAGGAAUGAACAGGAGCUCACCAGCCAUCAGAGAAUUGCAGCUAACCCUAGCCUUUUCCUUCUGAAGUGCCUUGCUCCCUGUUUGCCUUUCACCACGACUGGAAGUUUCCUCCAGCCUCCGCAGAAGCAGAAGCCACAAUGCUUCCUGUACAGCCUGC